GAUGAACGCUAGCUACAGGCUUAACACAUGCAAGUCGAGGGGUAACGAGAGGAAAGCUUGCUUUCCUUGUCGACGACCGGCGCACGGGUGAGUAACGCGUAUCCAACCUGCCCCCAACUAGGGAAUAACCUUGCGAAAGUAAGACUAAUACCCUAUAAUUUCCUCAGAUGACAUCUGACGAGGAAUAAAGAUUUAUCGGUUGUGGAUGGGGAUGCGUCUGAUUAGCUUGUUGGCGGGGUAACGGCCCACCAAGGCAACGAUCAGUAGGGGUUCUGAGAGGAAGGUCCCCCGCAUUGGAACUGAGACACGGUCCAAACUCCUACGGGAGGCAGCAGUGAGGAAUAUUGGUCAAUGGGCGGAAGCCUGAACCAGCCAAGUAGCGUUCGGGAUGACGGCCCUAUGGGUUGUAAACUGCUUUUAUACAGGAAUAAAGUUAGCCACGUGUGGUUAUUUGUAGGUACUGUAUGAAUAAGGACCGGCUAAUUCCGUGCCAGCCGCCGCCGUAA
rnacentral:rRNA from 1 species